rnacentral:rRNA from 1 species
UCCGCCCGCCGUUGAAACUGACGGUCUUGAGUGGGCGAGAAGUAUGCGGAAUGCGUGGUGUAGCGGUGAAAUGCAUAGAUAUCACGCAGAACUCCGAUUGCGAAGGCAGCAUACCGGCGCCCAACUGACGCUGAAGCACGAAAGCGUGGGUAUCGAACAGGAUUAGAUACCCUGGUAGUCCACGCAGUAAACGAUGAAUACUAGCUGUCCGGGGCGAAUGAGCCCUGGGUGGCACAGCGAAAGCGUUAAGUAUUCCACCUGGGGAGUACGCCGGCAACGGUGAAACUCAAAGGAAUUGACGGGGGCCCGCACAAGCGGAGGAACAUGUGGUUUAAUUCGAUGAUACGCGAGGAACCUUACCCGGGCUCAAACGACACAGGAACGUACCUGAAAGGGUUCGGCUCUACGGAGCCUGUGUCGAGGUGCUGCAUGGUUGUCGUCAGCUCGUGCCGUGAGGUGUCGGCUUAAGUGCCAUAACGAGCGCAACCCCCAUCGACAGUUGCUAACAGGUCAGGCUGAGGACUCUGUCGAGACUGCCGGCGCAAGCUGCGAGGAAGGCGGGGAUGACGUCAAAUCAGCACGGCCCUUACGUCCGGGGCGACACACGUGUUACAAUGGCAGGUACAGCGGGAAGCCACCUGGCGACAGGGAGCGGAACCCGAAAGCCUGUCUCAGUUCGGAUUGGAGUCUGCAACCCGACUCCAUGAAGCUGGAUUCGCUAGUAAUCGCGCAUCAGCCACGGCGCGGUGAAUACGUUCCCGGGCCUUGUACACACCGCCCGUCAAGCCAUGGAAGCCGGGGGUGCCUGAAGUGCGCUGCCGCGAGGAGCGCCCUAGGGUAAAACCGGUGACUGGGGCUAAGUCGUAACAAGGUAGCCGUAA